CGUAGGUCUUUGUCUCCUCCAUCCUCUCCAGAGAGAAUGUCAAGGAGGCUUCUGGAAACUCAGAGCUCUGUGGCUGCUCAACCCUGCUGGAAGAUGGGAGCUGUUGAUAGUACACAGAUGACUGGUAAUCUGUCUGGAAAAUUACAGUGCAGACUCUCUGGACAGGAAUGUGUCCCAGAAAAGGGAAUAUCCCUGGGAAUAUCCCUGGCUGAUUGGAGGAAUCAGAUACUGGAAUUAGGAACUAUGGGCUCAGAGGGCACUUGGAGUUCAUCUAAUUUAGUGGUUUUGAAGCUUCUAACCACAAAGGACUGCCGUUAUUAAUUUCCUCCAGAGACUCUCUAUUUUAAAAUAUUUUGGCUGGUUAAAAAAAAUUUACAAAAAUAAUUCUAUUUUCUGUUUUUAUUAAUCAAAGAUAUAAUAGACGACUAGAAAAAUAGAGCUUCUGGCCAGCAUGAGGUGACCUGCCUUUCCAUACCGAGGGGCUCUUGCUUCAGCCGAGCACAUACGAGUGUUUUUUAAUGAAACUGUGCAGACUUACAGGAGGUGGGGAUAGCAAACGUACAAUUUCAUUAGACUUUUUCAAAUUUGGGAAAUUGUUCCAACAGUCUCUCCACCAUGAAUACUUUCAGGAACGUGCGUGACUCUAGCGGUCCCAGCUGAAAAUCAUUGAUUCAGACUUACUUCCUUGUUUCAUCAUUGAGGAAACAGAAGCCCAGAGAGGGGAAGUAAAAUUUCCAAAGUCACCAAGUUGAGUUGAUGAGUAAAAGGAUGGUUAAAUAAUAGAAUACCUGUGUCCCCUGGGACCCACUACCCACUCCAAGGUAGAGUUGUCUGGUUCAUUCUGUAGCCAGUUCUGCAGCUUGUGAAAGUUUAAAGAUCUUCGUUUCAUUUUUAAUUCUGAGUGUUUGCUCUUAGGAUACAGCUCUCAUUCUCUUGGAGUGUUAUGCCUGCUUCUCCCUCAGGCUUAAAGCUGGUCCCCGUGUCCCACAAUUAGAUCCACUCUUAUAAGCAUUUUGAGGGUCAACAAGCCAUAGAAUCACUGGCUCUGGGGAAGACAGCUGUUGUGUUGUGUUGUGUUGUGUUGUGGAGACACCAAAGAAGCCCCACAGAAAGGACCACGUAGCAAGGAACCAAGGCCACCUGCCAGUCGCCAGUGAGGAACUAAGUCCUCGUGCCAUGGCAGAAAUCGAUGCUGUGGAGGAAAAGAGAAUGUGUCAAUGCCGUGGGGCCCCAGCUCCUGUGUCCACAGCACUUGGGGGACAAGCUGGAAGCACGAAGAAGGAGUCAGACUCAUCUUGGAUACCUAACCCCCACAGCGCCUGGGGAGAACUGAGCCCUCCGUCACCCUGGCCCACUAGACACAGAGGAAACAGCCCAGGGAGAUGAAAAGUGCUUCUCCAGGAGCCUCUCUGAGAUGUUUGCAAAGCUCGCAUGAAAACCCAGGGGAUGGAGCCUGGAGCUUCCUCUUCGAACACCACAGUGCUGACGAGUGCUGAGCCAGCCAUUCUGUCCUUUCCUGCUUCCCUGUCCUGUCCCUGUUCUUCAGUUCCCGCCACCAAGGACCAUUUCUAAGUCCUCCAAGGAAGAGAGGUGCAGAGACUCAGUCAGGCCGACCAAAACCUUCGCAUGGUCCCGUCCUACAAAUAGAGACCAACUGGUUCCCCAAUUAUCAGUGAGAGAACAGAGGAAACCAGAGGUGAGGGUAUCACUUCAGUUGGAGAAAUUUUUAUCCUAGGGAAUUGUUCAUAGACACUCGCCUGGUGACGAGUCGUCCCCUGGGCCUUCUAAAAUGCCAGGGAAACUCCUGUCAAUUGGGCCCCGCUUAAGGGCUCUGCUUUCCAAAGGUGGAGACUAAGAAGCAAGGGGAGUUUCUUCUCCAAGGGACUCUUGCUUCCUGGCCCAUCUGGCUGGGCUCGGGGUCUAGAUGCAAAGGAAAAAGGGAGCCCACACUGAAGCUCUGGGUCCCUUUCGUAAAGAGAGAGGGGAAUAGUUAAUAACCCACAAAUGACUCACAAAUAACAGGAAAGCUGUUUGCAAACAUGUAAAUGCCUAACAGCCUCCCCCACUCCCCGCUCAGAAAGAAAUGAGCAAGAGACAGAACUCUAGCGCCUUCAGAGAGUCCUCCCGCCAGGCUGUCUGUGCUUCUCCGGGUGUGAGUGGGAAGAGGCUGCCGAGCCCCGAGGGGAAGAACGGAUCCGCACUCACACAGCGCCGCAGUCUCAGCCGGAGGGUCUUCAGCUUUUCUCCCAGGGAGUUCACGUGUUGUUUGAUGUCUGGGUCCUCGUUCUCAGCCUGGGGCAUCACCUCCUCCAAGUAAAACUGGAUCAUCUCGGACAAGGCUUGGCAACCCAGCAAAGGAAGCAGACCCAGCUCCCGGCCUCCCUUCUCUGAGUCACGCUGCAAGCUCGCCUCCCACACACCCCCCCGGGCCCUCACCUUAAAGUCCUCCAGCAAGGACCUAGUCAACAAUAUGCUGUGCAGCUCGUCCUUGGUUUGCUGCAAGAAGAACAAAAGAAGAGUGAACCCGAGGUUUGAGGAAAUAACUGAAAUAAAUGUCUUUCUGAUGCCCUCUUA